ACUGUCUGACUUCGCUCUUUGUUCGUCCAUUACUGCAUGCUAUUUUAGACGUUAUUUUAUGUUGUUCCCACUUCGAAGAGAUUUUACUGCAGAUUUAAUGAUAAUAAGACUAUGACAAAGAUGAUUUGGUAGAGGUGGAUCAUAGUCCUAGUGUCAUUUCUUGAGAUGACUGCUUGGGAUGUCAGAUAGAAAAUACAUGUUGAAGAAAUCAUAUUUUACAGUGGAUGCAGUUCUAGUCACACUGGACUUGGCACUAUUGGAUCUUGUUUUUACACCAAUUCCGAUUGGUGGAUUCAACCAGAGUAUAUGUAUGGAACAACACCCUUAGGAAGGAAAUAGUCACAGAUAAUACCACACCCUCAAAUGGACUUUUUAUACGACCGCAAAAUUUGAAAAAAAUUUCGUCGUAUAUUGCUAUCACGUUGGCGUCGUCGUCGUCGUCCGAAUACUUUUAGUUUUCGCACCCUUACUUUAGUAAAAGUGAAUAGAAAUCUAUGAAAUUUUAACACCAGGUUUAUGACCACAAAAGGAAGGUUGGUAUUGAUUUUGGGAGUUUUGGUCCCAACAUUUUAGGAAUUAGGGGCCAAAAAGGGCCCAAAUAAGCAUUUUCUUGGUUUUCGCACUAUAACUUUAGUUUAAGUUAAUAGAAAUCUAUGAAAUUUUGACACAAGGUUUAUGACCACAAAAGAAAGGUUGGGAUAGAUUUUGGGAGUUUUGGUUUCAACGGUGUAGGAAUUAGGGGCCAAAAAUGGACCCAAAUAAGCAUUAUUCUUGGUUUUCGCACAAUAACUUUAGUUUAAGAGAAUAGAAAUCAAUGAAAUUUAAAGACAAGGUUUAUAACCACAAAAGGAAGGUUGGUAUUGAUAUUGGGAGUUAAGGUCCCCACAGUUUAGGAAUAAGGGGCCCAAAGGGUCCAAAUUAAACUUUGUUUGAUUUCAUCAAAAUUGAAUAAUUGGGGUUAUUUGACAUGCUGAAUCUAACUGUGUAUGUAGAUUCUUUACUGUUGGUCCUGUUUUCCAAUUGGUCUACAUUAAGGUCCAAAGGGUCCAAAAUUAAACUUAGCUUGAUUUUGACAAAAAAUGAAUCGGUUGGGUUCUUUGAUAUGCUGAAUCUAAAAAUGUACUUAGAUUCUUGAUUAUUGGCCCAGUUUUCAAGUUGGUCCAAAUCGGGGUCCAAAAUUAAACUUUGUUUGAUUUCAUCCAAAAUUGAAUAAAUGGGGUUCUUUGAUAUGCCAAAUCUAACUGUGUAUGUAGAUUCUUCAUUUUUGGUCCUGUUUUCAAAUUGGUCUACAUUAAAGUUCAAAGGGUCCAAAAUUAAACUUAGUUUGAUUUUAACAAAAAUUGAAAUCUUGGGGUUCUUUGAUAUGCUGAAUCCAAUCAUGUACUUAGAUUUUUGAUUAUGGGCCCAGUUUUCAAGUUGGUCCAAAUCAGGAUUUAAAAUUAUUAUAUUAAGUAUUGUGCAAUAGCAAGUCUUUUCAAUUGCACAGUAUUGCGCAAUGGCAAGAAAUAUCUAAUUGCACAAUAUUGUGAAAUAGCAAAUUUUAUUUUAAUUAGAGUUAUCUUUCUUUGUCCAGAAUAGUAAGCAAGAAAUAUCUAAUUGCACAAUAUUGUGCAAUAGCAAGAUUUUUUUUAAAUUGGAGUUAUCUCUGUUUGUCCAGAAUCAACUUAAAUCUUUCUUAUAUACAAUAUACAAUGUAUAUUCACUUUUUACUACCAACUGAUAAAUUAAAAUAAUCUUUACCAUUCAGUGAUAACAAGCAGUUUUUUAACAUCUUAAUAUUUUAUGAUGUAUUUAAACGAGUAGUUAUUGUUGCAAACUAUAUUAGAAAUUUUAAUUGAGAUUAGUUUUGAAAUAAGGGAAAGGGGAAUGUGAUUGAAAAAAUUGGGUUCAAUUUUUUUCAUUUGAAAUUUCAUAAAUAAAAAGAAAAUUUCUUCAAACAUUUUUUUGAGAGGAUUAAUAUUCAACAGCAUAGUGAAUUGCUCUAAGAGAAAACAAAAAUUUUAAGUUCAUUAGAACAAAUUCAUUCUGUGUCAGAAACCUAUGCUGUGUCAACUAUUUAAUCACAAUCCAAAUUUAGAGCUGAAUCCAGCUUGAAUGUUGUGUCCAUACUUGCCCCAACCGUUCAGGGUUCAACCUCUGCAGUCAUAUAAAGCUACGCCCUGCGGAGCAUCUGGUUUUUAAAUUAGAGAUAAAAGAUUAAAAAAUUUUGGAUAUCUACUUUUUUUUUUGAAG